GAUCUUUUUAAACAAAAAGAGGAACUGACAUCAGCUGGUUUUCUUUCCCUGUUCUCAUGCAGGAAAUGGAGCACCUCCUGGUGUUAGACGCAAAGUCGGCCAAUAUUUUGAGUCCUUGCGUGAAGAACACAAGGGAGUUGCUGGCCUCGGCGGCUCGUCCGGUCAACAUUUUGCUUUGUGGAAAGCUAGGGCUCCUACCACUGGACUCAGCUCAACCAGUGCUCAGUGGUCACACUCGGCGUGCUUAGCACUUCUAGAGGCAGCAGAAGAAAUAAACGUGAAGAUGACCUCGAUCUUCCUGAAGCAAGGAUUCAAGCCAAGCAGACCCUGACAGCGCCAGAAUCCAGGAGGCCGGCCUUGGCACCCCACCGUGCCCACUGGUUCCUCCCCAUCCCGCCUCUGCCCCCUUGGCACCUGCUUCUCUGCUGCUCGCUGAGGAUGGAUCCUCGGUCACUCCUGUUAUCCUGGGGAAGUGCAAGAGUUCAACUGAGUCCCUCCUCCCUACCCCCACCCGGAGCUGAGGCCUGGCUGUGCCUGCGAGGGGAAGGGCUUUCCACCUGGAGAGGAGAUCUGUGUGCACCCAGGACCAGUGUGUGCGUGCACAUGCACACACACAUACGCAUGUGUGCACAGAGUUUUAUAUCACUUUAGCACCAGCGUGUGCAUACACACACCCACACCACACACACACACGUGUGCACAGCGUUGUGUAUCACUUUAGCACCAGCGUGUGCGUGCACACACACACACGCACGCGUGCAGAGUUCUAUAUCACUCUGUCUGUGCUGAUGUCCCAAUUUCAUUUCCAGCCCUGACUACUCCUGGCCUCCAGUGCCAUCUGUGAGCCACAGGGAAGAGGCUGAAGUCAGAGCCAAGAUGGAUCUGACCCCGAAACUGGGAGCACGUCCAGGAGAGACGGCCGCACAGGCCUUGGGUGCUGGGGACUCAGGCAGCAGUGACAGGCAGGCAGGAUGCAGAAGCAGGCUGUUCUGACCCCGGCAGAUGCACGAGAGGGAGCCCCUCCUGGAAUUACACGUCCCCCAGUCCUGGUCCCCAGUGCCUGGAGAGCUGCCAUGCCUUGGGGGACACGGGCGGCUCAGGGGUAACGAUGUCCUGCAAGUUCAGGUGUCUGGUUACAGCCAUUCCUGCAGGGGUCUAAUUUUUUUUUCUUAUCUUGGUACAUAUUGAAACAAAAAGAAAAUGACCAGGGAAUGACUGAACCUGCUUCCGGGAGUGAAGACAGUGUGCACGUGACCUCAGAGCCCAGUAGCAAACGUGGGAAGCCCCCGCUGACCCUGAGGAUGGUGUGCAUGUGACCACGGAGCCCAGUAACAACAGGGCCUAGGGCGGCCUCCGAGCACAACAGGCAGGAAGGAGCGUUCUCAGGAGCUGCUCUUCUGCCCAUCCGAGUUUCUUCUCUGGUUAUAAGUGGCCACAUGGACACCAGUCAUUGACUCAUUAAGGGCCAGUACUCAGGGACGCCCAUGGAACCUGUCCAAGCAGCCCUGGCUGUGGACCUGUCUCUCUUGAGCGGUGAUGCAGACGGGAGGUCAGUGCCUCCCAGGCUGCCUGGGACUCUGGCCUCUGGCUCUCCUGUGCCGGAAUGAGCUGGAAUGAGCCAGAAUGACGUGGAAUGAGCUGGAAUGCCUCU
rnacentral:lncRNA from 1 species